AGAUAAUGAUCUUGAAUAAGUAUAUAUUUUGAAAAUAUAUUAUAGAAUUAAAUGAAUUCUAUUAUCUU
rnacentral:tRNA from 1 species